CAUUAAGAAGCUUACAACAAGCAAUAGCCUUUUAAGCUAU
rnacentral:tRNA from 1 species